GAUGAACGCUGGCGGCGUGCUUAACACAUGCAAGUCGAACGGAGAGUACCAAGUAGCAAUACGCGGUAUUCUUAGUGGCGGACGGGUGAGUAACGCGUGAGCAAUUUGCCUUAGGGUGGGGGAUAACAGCGGGAAACCGUUGCUAAUACCGCAUACGACUACGGCCGGGCAUCCGGUUGUGGUGAAAGGAGCAAUCCGCCCUUAGAUGAGCUCGCGUCCCAUUAGGUAGUUGGCGGGGUAACGGCCCACCAAGCCCUGCGAUGGGUAGCCGGACUGAGAGGUUGGCCGGCCACACCUGGAACUGAGACACGGUCCAGACUCCUACGGGUGGCAG
rnacentral:rRNA from 1 species